CUGAGGGAGAGCUGGAGUGUUGGGAGUGUCCCCAAGGAUACGUCUGCCCUGAUGGACGAAACAGACAGCAUUGUUCAGCUGGCCAGGAGCCAAACCCCAGCCACACGCAUUGUGUAACCUGCACUCUCGGCUCUUUCUCCACCAAGGAAGCUCUGGGAUGCCAGCCCUGUCCAGCAGGUCACUUUUGCAUUGAUGGAUUUACAGCCCCUCCAUGCCCAGCAGGGAGCUUUGAGCCCCGAGAGCAGUUCUGCAAACCCAGCA